UCCUCAGAAGGGAGAGAGAGAUUUAUGGAGUCCGACGGCAGCAGGGAGAGAAAAAAAAGGACAAAGGUGCCGAUGAAUAUGGGGUUAGCAAGUGGUUUCCAGUGUAACAGUUAUUUAAAGUAAAGGUACAGUAAAGAUGAGAGGCUCUACAAAGCAUCUCGGGUUUAACCCUUAGGAAAUCUGAAACACAAUAUUCAAAAAAGACAGGCAUCCAUUUAGAUUUUUCCCAAACAAAACUCCAGGCUGCAGCUCAGAGCAGAAAAUAUUUGGGUUGGUCCACUUAUAGACGGUAACCGAUCACACCUGCAUUCCUGGGAGAAGGGAGCUGCCAACAGACAUUCUCCUGUUGCCCCCCUCGCACCCCUUCUCCAAUUUUCUCUCCCCUUGUUACCUUGUCUCCCUCUUCUGCGUUCCUCUCCUUCUGUUGCUCCCCUUUCUAUAUGAGUGUGUCUGGGUCCGGCUGGAGAGGCUUUGUCUGUGAACAUUGGAGCCCUGACUGGCCCACGGGGGCCCGAUCCAUGAAUACCCACACUGUGAGAGCCACUCUUUCACUUCACACCACUUUCUCUACUGGAAUGCCUGAGCAGUGAGGAACGAAGGAAUAAAAGGAGGACCAAGUACAUUUAACCAAAGACUGAAAGCAGCCUGAAACCGGAGCUUGAUGUCCUGACGGCUGGGAUGGCAAAGAAAAGGGCCACUUGUCUUUCUGUGUGUGUCUGUUCAUAGAUCAGCAUGCCGACUGCUGUCAAACACAAACAACAAGCCACUCCAAUGAUGGAGGAGGGAAAAAAAAUCUCAUAUAUC